rnacentral:rRNA from 1 species
GAUGAACGCUGGCGGCGUGCCUAAUACAUGCAAGUCGAGCGAACGGACGAGAAGCUUUCUUCUCUGAUGUUAGCGGCGGACGGGUGAGUAACACGUGGAUAACCUACCUAUAAGACUGGGAUAACUUCGGGAAACCGGAGCUAAUACCGGAUAAUAUUUUGAACCGCAUGGUUCAAAAGUGAAAUACGGUCUUGCUGUCACUUAUAGAUGGAUCCGCGCUGCAUUAGCUAGUUGGUAAGGUAACGGCUUACCAAGGCAACGAUGCAUAGCCGACCUGAGAGGGUGAUCGGCCACACUGGAACUGAGACACGGUCCAGACUCCUACGGGAGGCAGCAGUAGGGAAUCUUCCGCAAUGGGCGAAAGCCUGACGGAGCAACGCCGCGUGAGUGAUGAAGGUCUUCGGAUCGUAAAACUCUGUUAUUAGGGAAGAACAUAUGUGUAAGUAACUGUGCACAUCUUGACGGUACCUAAUCAGAAAGCCACGGCUAACUACGUG